ACUCCUACGGGAGGCAGCAGUGGGAAUAUUGCACAAUGGGCGCAAGCCUGAUGCAGCCAUGCCGCGUGUGUGAAGAAGGCCUUCGGGUUGUAAAGCACUUUCAGUCGUGAGGAAGGUAGUGUAGUUAAUAGCGCAUUUAUUUGAUCGUUAGCGACAGAAGAAGCACCGGCUAACUCCGUGCCAGCAGCCGCGGUAAUACGGAGGGUGCGAGCGUUAAUCGGAAUUACUGGGCGUAAAGCGCAUGCAGGUGGUUUGUUAAGUCAGAUGUGAAAGCCGGCU
rnacentral:rRNA from 1 species